UACGGGGGGGGCAAGCGUUGUUCGGAAUUACUGGGCGUAAAGGGCGCGCAGGCGGUCAUUUUUGUCGGGUGUGAAAGCCCCGGGCUUAACCUGGGAACUGCGCUCGAAACGGGAUGACUAGAGAUCGGGAGAGGAGAGUGGAAUUCCCAGUGUAGAGGUGAAAUUCGUAGAUAUUGGGAAGAACACCGGUGGCGAAGGCGGCUCUCUGGGCCGAUACUGACGCUGAGGAGCGAAAGCGUGGGGAGCGAACAGG
rnacentral:rRNA from 1 species